rnacentral:rRNA from 1 species
GACAGAGGGUGCAAACGUUGUUCGGAAUUACUGGGCGUAAAGGGCGCGUAGGCGGCUUGACAAGUCACUUGUGAAAUCUCCGGGCUUAACUCGGAACGGCCAAGUGAAACUGUCAUGCUAGAGUGCAGAAGGGGCAAUCGGAAUUCUUGGUGUAGCGGUGAAAUGCGUAGAUAUCAAGAGGAACACCUGAGGUGAAGACGGGUUGCUGGGCUGACACUGACGCUGAGGCGCGAAAGCCAGGGGAGCAAACGGG